CUGGUGGCCAUUGCGAGGAGCCUGAACCCGACUCCACUCCGAACUCGGCCGUUAAACUCCUCAGCGCCGAUGGUACUAUGUCUCAAGACCUGGGAGAGUAGGUCGCUGCCAGGU
rnacentral:rRNA from 1 species